rnacentral:rRNA from 1 species
AUUGAACGCUGACGGCAGGCUUAACACAUGCAAGUCGAGCGGAGCGAGGGUGCUUGCACCUUAGCUUAGCGGCGGACGGGUGAGUAAUGCUUAGGAAUCUGCCUAUUAGUGGGGGACAACAUUCCGAAAGGGAUGCUAAUACCGCAUACGCCCUACGGGGGAAAGCAGGGGAUCUUCGGACCUUGCGCUAAUAGAUGAGCCUAAGUCGGAUUAGCUAGUUGGUGGGGUAAAGGCCUACCAAGGCGACGAUCUGUAGCGGGUCUGAGAGGAUGAUCCGCCACACUGGGACUGAGACACGGCCCAGACUCCUACGGGAGGCAGCAGUGGGGAAUAUUGGACAAUGGGGGGAACCCUGAUCCAGCCAUGCCGCGUGUGUGAAGAAGGCCUUUUGGUUGUAAAGCACUUUAAGCGAGGAGGAGGCGCUCUAGGAUAAUACCCUAGAUGCGUGGACGUACUCGCAGAUAGCCCCGC